AGAGAGGUUUCUCAACAAUUGUAGAUGAAGUGGCUCCUUUUUCAAACAUGAAUGAAGACUAAGAGUGAAAUUGGAACUUUUAUUUUUUUUGAACCAAAGUUUAGUGGGUAUUUUCGGGAAGAAGAGAAACAAAGGGAGAAGAGAAGAAAGAAAAGAGCUGGGACUUACAAUCUAGGCUCUGAUACUAGUUAUGAAAAUAUCAAUGACUUAAAUAUUUAGACCAAGGCUGUUGUUUGGAGAAACCCAGAAGAGAAGAAGAGAACCAGAAGAAGGUGUAGGCUGGGUUGAGUCGCCUGCCUCUGGUGAGUCCUCCAUUGCAAGAUCCAGUGAGGGAGGACACCGGAAAAUGCGCCACGCGUCGGCGCUAGAAUGGGUGUGGCUGCACAUGGUGAUCAAUGGCUGAGAUUUUGGUGUUGGUCUUCUGGGUUUUGACUCGCUGGUAAGAGGGAAAAUGUUUCGGACAGGUGGCGUAGUCCACCUUCUAAUGGCAAAUGGUUAACAAAAUAAAACAGUGCUGUUUUUCUUCAGGGACAAAAGAGCAUAGGAAGAAAAGAAGAAAUCAGGCCUUUUUAGGCAUUGAUGCCAGGUGAAAAUAGUGGAAGGAAGUAAGAGGGAGAGAUUUGCGAGGAAAAUUUUGUGUAUUUAAUUCAAGCUAUUCACAGCAAUAUAACUACAUAUUACAUAAGAGUCCCAACUCUCAAGCUUUACAGGAGUUCCAACCUAACUCAAAUACCAAUCCUACUAAAUUACAACAAUCUACUAAGAAGAUAAGAGGAUAGUUGCAACAAAGGUUGAGCCACAAGGAGUUAGAACCAA
rnacentral:misc_RNA from 1 species